UACGUAGGGGGCAAGCGUUGUCCGGAAUCAUUGGGCGUAAAGAGCGUGUAGGCGGCCCGGUAAGUCCGCUGUGAAAGUCCAGGGCUCAACCCUGGGAUGCCGGUGGAUACUGUCGGGCUCGAGUCCGGAAGAGGAGUGUGGAAUUCCUGGUGUAGCGGUGAAAUGCGUAGAUAUCUGGAGGAACACCGGUGGCGAAGGCGGCAUCCUGGACCGACACUGACACUGAGGAGCGAAAGCCAGGGGAGCAAAGCGGG
rnacentral:rRNA from 1 species